GAUGAACGCUAGCGGCAGGCUUAACACAUGCAAGUCGAGGGGUAGAAGGAGCUUGCUCCUUUGAGACCGGCGCACGGGUGCGUAACGCGUAUGCAAUCUACCUUUUGCAGAGGGAUAGCCCAGAGAAAUUUGGAUUAAUACCUCAUAGUAUGUGAGGAUGGCAUCAUUUUCACAUUAAAGCCACAACGGCAAAAGAUGAGCAUGCGUCCCAUUAGCUAGUUGGUAAGGUAACGGCUUACCAAGGCUACGAUGGGUAGGGGUCCUGAGAGGGAGAUCCCCCACACUGGUACUGAGACACGGACCAGACUCCUACGGGAGGCAGCAGUGAGGAAUAUUGGACAAUGGGCGCAAGCCCUGAUCCAGCCAUGCCGCGUGCAGGAUGACGGUCCUAUGGAUUAGUAAACUGUCUUUGUACAGGAAGAACACUACUUCGU
rnacentral:rRNA from 1 species